rnacentral:rRNA from 1 species
AUUGAACGCUGGCGGCCGGCCUAACACAUGCAAGUCGAGCGAGCGGCGGACGGGUGAGUAAUGUAUGAGGACCUGCCAGAUAGCGGGGGAUAACUACUGGAAACGGUGGCUAAUACCGCAUACUAUCGGAUGAGCACUUAUGGGAUUAGCUAGUAGGUGGGGUAAAGGCACACCUAGGCGACGAUCUCCAGCUGGUCUGAGAGGAAGAUCAGCCACACUGGGACUGAGACACGGCCCAGACUCCUACGGGAGGCAGCAGUGGGGAAUAUUGGACAAUGGGCGAAAGCCUGAUGCAGCCAUGCCGCGUGUAUGAAGAAGGCUUUAGGGUUGUAAAGUACUUUCAGCGGGGAGGCGUUACCCGCAGAGGAAGCACCGGCUAACUCCGUGCCAGCAGCCGCGGUAAUAC